UUAGAACGUCGUGAGACAGUUCGGUCCCUAUCUGCCGUGGGCGCUGGAGAAUUGAGGGGGGCUGCUCCUAGUACGAGAGGACCGGAGUGGACGCAUCACUGGUGUUCGGGUUGUCAUGCCAAUGGCACUGCCCGGUAGCUAAAUGCGGAAGAGAUAAGUGCUGAAAGCAUCUAAGCACGAAACUUGCCCCGAGAUGAGUUCUCCCUGAGACUUUAAGUCUCCUGAAGGAACGUUGAAGACGACGACGUUGAUAGGCCGGGUGUGUAAGCGCAGCGAUGCGUUGAGCUAACCGGUACUAAUGAACCGUGAGGCUUAACCUU
rnacentral:rRNA from 1 species